AUUAGAUGGGCACAUGUCUCUUGCCAGCUUGGCUAGUCGGUGGGUACAGUGGAAGGAAGGCCACACUGGCAGACUAGGUAGAACUGCACCAACUGAAGGGUUACACUGUAGUAACACUGGGGCACUUGCAGGCUGGCCAGGCCCCACAGUGCUGCACACACCCAUCUUGGUCUGGUCCAGGCUGCUCCCAAAGGACAGCGGGACUGACUCCAGAUGGGUGGACAUAGGGGGGGCCCUCCUGCUGUCCUACUGCGGGAGAGGCCACCCGCUGUGAGCAGCCAUUUUCUCCUUCCCUGGAGGCCCUCUCCUUCCCUGAAACACUCAACGGACCACCAUGCCCCCCACAGCUCCCUUGGCCACCACCAGUCCAGCCACAGCGGCCCCCUCACAGCCUCCCACAAGCAGUGGGGAUGCCCCUCACUGGCCAUCUGUCCAAAAGGGCUCCCCUUUCUAACAGGUCUGGGAUGCCUUCCCCCCCGCCACCCCACACCUGGCAGGGGAGAAGAGGAACUCAGCCGACACCCUGGAAACAUUCUCAAGGUCCUCGGGCCUGCCGAGAUGAAACCCAGGAGGGAACUCCGCGGCUUCUCCUAGCCACGGUCCCAUGGGGUUUUCAACCUCUCAGCAGCGGGGUUGCACUUCUGCAACAGGAGAUUACACUUCCAGUUUCUUUCCUAAAGGGAAAAAGGAAGAGAGCAACAGAGCUGAUGUGCAUGGUGACGUAUAUCACCUCCCCAAACCGCAGUUGUCAUUGCCAUCUCCAGGCCUGCCCCAGCCCAGACUCACAUGCCUCCCACCCUCGGGGAGCUCACAGCUGCUGUCCCAGAGCUAGAUGCACCCCGGGAAGUAAGGCUCCUGUCCAUGGAGAGGCCCCUCACAGUCCUUCGGGUGAGCCUGCACCACCCCACGCCAGGCUCUGCCACCUUUGCUUAUGUCCCUCCUCAGGUGGAGCACGACGCAAGCCCACUGCUGGUGGGCAGGGGACCGGACGCCCACCUCCAGGCUCUCGGGGCUUAGGGAAGCCUGUGUUUAAUAAACUGCAAGUAUUUCAUUAA
rnacentral:lncRNA from 1 species